rnacentral:tRNA from 1 species
GGAGGUGUCGCAUAGUGGUCAAUUGCGUACGCUUGGAAAGCGUAAGCCUUACGGCUUCGCAGGUUCGAAUCCUGUCACCUCCG